rnacentral:snRNA from 1 species
AGACUUAUGUGGCAAGGGAGACACCAUGAUCAGGAAGGUGGUUUUCCCCAGGGCAUGGCUUACCCAUGAGCGUAUGAGCAGACCCUGUGAUUUCCCUAAAUGUGGAAAACUUGACUGCAUUUAAUUGUGGUAAUGAGGGAACUGGGUUCGUGCUCUCCCCUG